rnacentral:rRNA from 1 species
CUGGCUCAGGACGAACGCUGGCGGCGUGCUUAACACAUGCAAGUCGAACGGGGAUCAUUGGAUGAGAGCUCGGCAGGAUCUGAAUGAUUCGAGUGGCGGACGGGUGAGUAACGCGUGAACAAUCUGUCCCAGACAGGGGGAUAACACUUGGAAACAGAUGCUAAUACCGCAUAAGACCACGGGGUCGCAUGGCCCUGAGGUAAAAGGAGCAAUCCGGUUUGGGGUGAGUUCGCGUCCGAUUAGAUAGUUGGUGAGGUAACGGCCCACCAAGUCGACGAUCGGUAGCCGACCUGAGAGGGUGAUCGGCCACAUUGGAACUGAGAGACGGUCCAAACUCCUACGGGAGGCAGCAGUGGGGAAUAUUGGGCAAUGGGGCCGAAAGCCUGACCCAGCAACGCCGCGUGAGUGAAGAAGGCUUUCGGGUUGUAAAGCUCUGUUAUAGGGGACGAAGGAAGUGACGGUACCCUAUAAGGAAGCCCCGGCUAACUACGUGCCAGCCGCGGC